rnacentral:rRNA from 1 species
UAAACGAUGCCAACCAGCAAUCCGCCUGAGUUCCUUAAAUGACUCGGCGGGCGGCUUCCGGGAAACCAAAGUUUUUCGGUUCCAGGGGAAGUAUGGUUGCAAAGCUGAAACUUAAAGGAAUUGACGGAAGGGCACCACCAGGAGUGGAGCCUGCGGCUUAAUUUGACUCAACACGGGAAAACUUACCCGGCCCGGACACUGGAAGGAUUGACAGAUUGAGAGCUCUUUCUUGAUUCAGUGGGUGGUGGUGCAUGGCCGUUCUUAGUUGGUGGAGCGAUUUGUCUGGUUAAUUCCGAUAACGAACGAGACUCUAGCCUACUAAAUAGACCAGAGGCUUCUUAAAACACGUCUCUGGCUGCUUCUUAGAGGGACAGGCGGCGGUUCAGCCGCACGAAACAGAGCAAUAACAGGUCUGUGAUGCCCUUAGAUGUCCGGGGCCGCACGCGCGCUACACUGAAGUGAUCAGCGUGCUUUUUGUACCCUGCUCUGCCAAGAGUGGGUAACCCAAUGAACCUUCUUCGUGAUUGGGAUAGGGGAUUGUAAUUAUUCCCCUUGAACGAGGAAUUCCCAGUAAGCGCGAGUCAUAAGCUCGCGUUGAUUACGUCCCUGCCCUUUGUACACACCGCCCGUCGCUACUACCGAUUGGAGGUAGACGAGAGGUCUCGAGAUUGCUCUCUGGGCUG